rnacentral:rRNA from 1 species
UACAGAGGUCUCAAGCGUUGUUCGGAUUCAUUGGGCGUAAAGGGUGCGUAGGCGGCGCGGUAAGUCGGGUGUGAAAUCUCGGGGCUUAACUCCGAAACUGCAUUCGAUACUGCCAUGCUUGAGGACUGGAGAGGAGACUGGAAUUUACGGUGUAGCGGUGAAAUGCGUAGAUAUCGAUAAGGAAGACCAGUGGCGAAGGCGGGAUCGUC